ensembl:lncRNA
GUUAAGAGUAAAUACUGCUUUUUUAAUUAUGAUUUUUGAGUAAAUGUUUUUUUUUCGAGCUCCGCAUUUGUACGUCAUGACGUCAUGACGUUUUCUCUCUAACCUGAACGACGUUGACAGAAAAUUCUGUUCAAUAUGGCUGCCCUUCUCGAGCGACCGGAGAGCACAUUUGGAGAAACUUGUAAGUAAAACGGAACCUUCGUUAUGUUUAUUUUUUCCGUAAAAAAGCAAGUAUAUUAAUAUGUUGCAGCCAUUAACUUGUUUUUGAAUGCGCUGUUGUGUUAAACAGCACAGACCCAGGUAGUGAAUUGUUGUUCGCUGUUGUUCGCGCUCUUUUUCAAACCGAUGAUAUCGUCAGUUUUACAGUUUUAACCGAUUAAAACACAGUUUUAAUAAGAAUUGCACAUAAAGAAAGUGUCUUAGUGAUAUUUUAACGACCCAUUGCCAACGCAAGAAAGUUGGCGUUUUUACAACAGCAGCCUCAUUGUUCGGCCGGGUUUUUUUCUUCUUCUCAUUAGCAUCAUUCAAAAGUGACUUAGCUAGCAGUGGCAACUGCUAUCUUAAGCAGCAGCCUGUAAAAGAAGUAGUUUGUAAGUAGAAGUUCUGUGUAAUAUUACAAGUAUCUCACUGAUGUAUUAUGUACUAUUGCAUAACAAUGUGUCUUUGCAAAGAUUUAUCCCGCAGUUUGGCUUGGUUUUUUAAAAUAACUGCAGUGUAAAUUCAUAUGUAUUCUGUGCUUUUUUUUUUUUCUUUUUUUUUUUCCAACUUAACAGAAUUUAUACAUGGUGAGACAAUGUUGAUUAUAUGGUAAAAACUUAAAACUAAAAGAGGGUUACUGUUUACCAUGACUAAAUGGAAUGAUGGCCUGUGACUUUGUAACAUCUGAAAUUCUUACCUAUGUUUUGGACUGUUGGAUGAUCGGCCAUAGAAUUCAAGACUGCACUCAAAGUAAACAGCAGUAAUUGUAAGGUUUUGUUUUUUUUUUUACCAUGCUAAGUGUUUAUUUUGUCAUGAAAUGUACAGUGUACUUUUGAAAUUUUUGAAAGCUGUAAUGAUGGCUGAGUAUAUAAUUAUCACUGACCAGUUCUACGCUGAACUUGACAGACACACACCACGACUUAUGGCUCUAUACAGACAGAAGGCUGCACGGACUGGCAAGAUAUCAGAGGCUCUGCGAACCAUCCUGAAUCAUUAUGAUCUUCAGGAGGCGCCUGAUAUCAACGUGAAACGCACUGCAGUGCUUCGUGCCCUUCCUGUAUACCUGCGGGAGGAGGACCCAGAAUUCUUUAAGACAUGUAAUGCGGACACAUUGGAUGAGUCGACCCUCAUUGACACUCCAGUUGCCCUUCUCACAGUGGUUACCGACGGCGCUUCCCAGACCAGUCCAGUCCAUUUUACUUCCUCAAGCAUGGCCAUUGUGGUGGAAGGCGACUUGGUGAUGCGUGAUAUUCCCA